GACGAACGCUGGCGGCGUGCCUAAUACAUGCAAGUCGAACGCAGUGGGGACGGGUGAGUAACACGUGGGUAACCUCCCAUCAGAGGGGAUAACACUUGGAAACAGGUGCUAAACCGAUACUGAUGGAUGGACCCGGGGUGCAUUAGCUAGUUGGGUAGGGAACGGCUCACCAAGGCCACGAUGCAUAGCCGAACGUGGAGGGUGAGCGGCCAAACUGGGAAUGAGAAACGGCCCCGACUCCUACGGGAGGGAUCAGUAGGGAAUCUUAGGCAAAGGACGAAAGGCUGACCGAGGAACGCCGCGGGAGUUAAGAAGGGUUUCGGAUCGUAAAACUCUGUUGUUAGAGGAGCGGUAUCUAACCAGAAAGCCACGGCUAACUACGGGCCAGCAGCCGCGGUAAUAC
rnacentral:rRNA from 1 species